GGCAGUAAGUUACUGUAAAACUACUGAAAUCACAGUAUUUAAUUGGUUUUCAUUUCACAGUGAAUACAUAAAAUACUGUAAAUGGAAAUGCGGUACCUCUACUGUAAACUACAAUUACAGUAGUAAGUGUUACCGUAGAAAUUACAGUAGUCAAAACACUACUGUAAAUAAAUCACAAUAUAGCCACUAGUAGCCUAGGCUACUGUAAAUAGUUAAGUAAACUAGCCUACUGUGUUUUCCCUUUUUUAAUCUUAUCUUUCUUUUAACUCAUAAUGACAUACCAGAGACGGUUGAGAAAGUCAAUUUGAUGUCAAGAAUUAAGGCUUUGAUCACACUAUUGAGCAAGCAUAACACAUUUCAGCCUAAUAAUUUUCCACGAUUGUUUUUAACGGCUGCUUAUCGCCUCUUGAUAAGCGCAUGCGCACACGCAGUAAUUCCCAUCCCCCACCCCGGACUUUUCAAAUCCAGCCAGAAUGACUUCACUUCAACCGUCACUUUUCAGUCAUGAAUCUGACUGCAAUUUUCAACUCUGUACAAACAUCAUAUUCAAGUAGGUGGUGUGAGGACUGCUGCCCUGAGAACGCUGUGUCAGAGACACUUAGGCUGUGUGCAUUUUGGAAUGUUCCAAAUGUGUGUCACUUCCAUAAGGAAGAAGUUCCAAGCCUGCAAUUUAUCCCCUCCUUUCAUGUGUCUGUUAUGACUUUGUGGGCUCAACUGUCAACAACUGUCCAGGGCGAAGUCGGUCUACCCUGAUGGCACUACCUGAUGGCACUACCCUGAUGAUGUCUGUUAGCCAUGGCUGCUGCCCUCAACAUGGUGAGCCAUCCAGAAGUCCCAGCCUGGAGCCAGAGGCUGCUAUUGCAAGUCAGAUGGGAGAUGGCCUGACAGUAUGUUAGGCAUCAGAAAAGUGGUGUUCGCAUGAAGGCAGAGUUGCCGCAGGCAAUUAUGAGAUUAGACACUUGACAUUUACUGCGAAAGGUACCAUCAGAGCACCUCUCCCUACCCUGCAGGAUACCUAUACCAGAAGAGUACAACAACGGCCCAAAAGUAUUUCAAAAGACAUUUCACGCUCUGACCACGGACUGUUUAA